GACGAACGCUGGCGGCGUGCUUAACACAUGCAAGUCGAACGGUGAAAGCGGAGCUUGCUCCGCUGGAUCAGUGGCGAACGGGUGAGUAACACGUGGGCAACCUGCCCCUCACUUCGGGAUAACUCCGGGAAACCGGGGCUAAUACCGGAUAUGACCUCCUUGGGCAUCCUUGGAGGUGGAAAGUUUUUCGGUGAGGGAUGGGCCCGCGGCCUAUCAGCUUGUUGGUGAGGUAGUGGCUCACCAAGGCGACGACGGGUAGCCGGCCUGAGAGGGCGACCGGCCACACUGGGACUGCGACACGGCCCAGACUCCUACGGGAGGAAGCAGUGGGGAAUAUUGCGCAAUGGGCGAAAGCCUGACGCAGCAACGCCGCGUGCGGGAUGACGGCCUUCGGGUUGUAAACCGCUUUCAGCAGGGAAGAAGCCGCAAGGUGACGGUACCUGCAGAAGAAGCACCGGCUAACUACGUGCCAGCAGCCGCUGUAA
rnacentral:rRNA from 1 species